UGCAUAAUCAUUAGUUUUUUAAUUGAAAACUUGUAUGAAAGGUUUAAUAAAAAAUAAUCUUUAUAAAUUUAAUUUAAUUGAAUUUGUUUUUUUAGUAAAAAAACUAAAAUAUUAAAAAAAGACGAUAAGACCCUAUAAAGCUUUAUAAGAAUUUGUAAAUUUAUAAUUAGAAUAAUUUAUUUUUUUAUUAAUUUAUUAUUUAAUUGGGGUGAUUUAAAGAUUUAAUAAACUCUUUAUUUUUUUUUAUCAUUAUUUAAUGUUUUUUUGAUCCUUUAAUUAAAGAAUAAAAAAUUAAGUUACUUUAGGGAUAACAGCGUAAUUUUUUUAAAGAGUUCAAAUCGAUAAAAAAGAUUGCGACCUCNAUGUUGAAUUAAA
rnacentral:rRNA from 1 species